rnacentral:rRNA from 1 species
CCUGGUUGAUCCUACCAGUGGUCAUAUGCUUGUCUCAAAGAUUAAGCCAUGCAUGUGCAAUUAUGAACUAAUUCAGAUUGUGAAACUGCGAAUGGCUUAUUAAAUUAGUUAUAGUUUUGUUUUAUGGUAUUUGCUACUCAGAUAACCGUAGUAAUUCUAGAGCUAAUACAUGAAACAAACCAUGAAUUCUAUAAGGGAUACAUUUAUGAGAUAAAAGGUCUACGCGGGCUUUUCCCGUUGCUUUUAUGAUUCGUGAUAACUCGAUGGACCACAAGACUUUUAUGCCAGUGGCACAUCAUUCAAAUUUCUUCCCUAUAAACUUUCAAUGGUAGGAUAGUGGCCUACUAUGGUGGUGAUGGGUAACAAAGAAUUAGGGAUCGAUUUCAGAGAGGGAGCCUGAGAAAUGGCUACCACAUCCAAGGAAGGCAACAAUCACUCAAAUUACCCAAUCCUGACACAGGGAGGUAGUGACAAUAAAUAACAAUACCAGGCUCUAUGAGUUUGGAAAUUGGAAUGAGUACAAUAUAAAUCCCUUAAUGAGGAUCCAUUGGAGGGAAAGUUUGGUUCCAGUAGCCACGGUAAUUCUAACUCCAAUAGCAUAUAUUUAAGUUGUUAUAGUUAAAAAAACUCGUAGUUGGACCUAGGGGUGGGUCGGUCAGUCCGCCUCAUGGUGAGCACCAGUCUAUUCAUCCAUACUACUGGUGAUGUGCUCAUGGCCUUAAUUGGUCAGGUAAUUUCUCUAACACUGUUACUUCAAAAAAAUUAGAGUGCUCAAAGAAGGCCUAUGUUUUUAUACAUUAGCAUGGGAUAACUUCAUAGGAUUUCGAUCCUAUUGUGUUGGCCUUCGGGAUCAGAUUAAUGAUUAAAAAAUACAGUCGAGGGCAUUCAUAUUUCAUAGUCAGAGGUGAAAUUCUUGGAUUUAUGAAAGAUUAACAACUGUUAAAACAUUUUCUAAGGAUGUUUUCAUUAAUCAAGAAUUAAAGUUGGGGGAUCAAAGAUAAUCAGAUACCGUCAUAGUCUCAACCAUAAAUGAUACUGACCAGGGAUCGACAUAUAUUACUUUUAGGACUCAGUCGGUACCUUAUGAGAAAUCAAAGUCUUUGGGUUACAGGGAGAGUAUGGUCGCAAGGCUGAAACUUAAAGAAAUUGACGGAAGGAAACCACUAGGAGUGGACCCUACGGUUUAAUUUGACUCAACACGGGGAAACUUACCAGGUCCAGACAUAGUAUGGAUUGAUAGACUAAGAGAUCUUUCUUGAUUCUGUAGUUGGUGAUGCAUGGUCAUUCUUAGUUGGUGGAGUGAUUUGUCAGGUUAAUUUCGUUAACGAAUAGCCUACUAACUAACUACAAGUAGGUGAUCCUCUAUGGCUAGCUUCUUAGAGGGACUAUGGCCGCUUAGGCCAAGGAAGUUUUAGGCAAUAACAAGUCUGUGAUGCCCUUAGAUGUUCUAGGCCACAUAAGCGCUACACUGAUGUAUUCAACGAGUCUAUAUCCUAGGCUGACAGGCCCAGGCCCAGGUAAUCUUUAAAAUUUCAUCGUGAUAGGGAUAGAUUAUUGCAAUUAUUGGUCUUCAACGAGGAAUUUAUAGUAAGCUUGAGUUAUCAUCUCGUAUUGAAUACAUCAUUACCCUUUGUACACACCGCCCGUCGCUCCUACCGAUUGAAUGAUCUGGUGAAGUAUUCAGAUCACAGAGACAUGUGCAGUUCACUGCAGACCGCCCAUGUCACCGUGAGAAGUCCAUUGAACCUUAUCAUUUAGAGGAAGGAAAAGUCGUAAAAAGGUUUUCGUAGGUGAACCUGUGAAAG